GACGAACGCUGGCGGCGUGCUUAACACAUGCAAGUCGAACGCUGAAGCUCAGCUUUUGUUGGGUGGAUGAGUGGCGAACGGGUGAGUGACACGUGAGUAACCUGCCCCCUUCUUUGGGAUAACGCCCGGAAACGGGUGCUAAUACUGGAUAUUCACUGGUCUUCGCAUGGGGGUUGGUGGAAAGGGUUUUUCUGGUGGGGGAUGGCUCGCGGCCUAUCAGCUUGUUGGUGGGGUGAUGGCCUACCAAGGCUUUGACGGGUAGCCGGCCUGAGAGGGUGACCGGUCACAUUGGGACUGAGAUACGGCCCAGACUCCUACGGGAGGCGGCAGUGGGGAAUAUUGCACAAUGGGCGCAAGCCUGAUGCAGCGACGCCGCGUGAGGGAUGGAGGCCUUCGGGUUGUGAACCUCUUUCGCUCAUGGUCAAGCCGCAACAAUGGUUGUGGUGAGGGUAGUGGGUAAAGAAGCGCCGGCUAACUACGUG
rnacentral:rRNA from 1 species